AUUGAACGCUGGCGGCAUGCCUUACACAUGCAAGUCGAACGGCAGCACGGGAGCGAUCCUGGUGGCGAGUGGCGAACGGGUGAGUAAAGUAUCGGAACGCGCCCAGUCGUGGGGGAUAACGUAGCGAAAGUUACGCUAAUACCGCAUACGAUCUAUGGAUGAAAGCGGGGGAUCGCAAGACCUCGCGCGAUUGGAGCGGCCGAUAUCAGAUUAGGUAGUUGGUGGGGUAAAGGCCCACCAAGCCGACGAUCUGUAGCUGGUCUGAGAGGACGACCAGCCACACUGGGACUGAGACACGGCCCAGACUCCUACGGGAGGCAGCAGUGGGGAAUUUUGGACAAUGGGCGAAAGCCUGAUCCAGCCAUGCCGCGUGCAGGAUGAAGGCCUUCGGGUUGUAAACUGCUUUUGUACGGAACGAAAAGGACUGCCCUAAUACGGUGGUCCCAUGACGGUACCGUAAGAAUAAGCACCGGCUAACUACGUGCCAGCAGCCGCCGUAA
rnacentral:rRNA from 1 species